GGGGGCGUUCUUGGAUUCGACGGGGAUAGUUCGAGCAUGGGUAGCGGGUAGUGGGGACGCGUCCGCUUUAUCAACGCUAACGCCUAUUAAACGGCAAACAACAAAACAACUACGCUUUAGCAGCUUAAUAACCUGUUAGCGUGCUCCUACCUAGCAUCGCCCAUGUGACUAGACUAGGGGCUAACAAAUAGUGGGAUACGCCGCUUCGGUCUCCGCCUGGGGUCGACGGAAGAAGAUAAUCAGGCUGACCCAAAGAGAAUCCGGUAACGGGGAGUCCCUAGGGUGACAUCAAAACUGUUACUACACCCGUAGAAGCUUAUGUGUCGUUAUUUUCGGACAGGGGUUCGACUCCCCUCGCCUCCAUAU
rfam:Paenibacillus pini JCM 16418 DNA, contig: contig00010.